AUUGAACGCUGGCGGCAGGCCUAACACAUGCAAGUCGAACGGUAACAGAAAGCAGCUUGCUGCUUUGCUGACGAGUGGCGGACGGGUGAGUAAUGUCUGGGAAACUGCCUGAUGGAGGGGGAUAACUACUGGAAACGGUAGCUAAUACCGCAUAACGUCGCAAGACCAAAGAGGGGGACCUUCGGGCCUCUUGCCAUCGGAUGUGCCCAGAUGGGAUUAGCUAGUAGGUGGGGUAAAGGCUCACCUAGGCGACGAUCCCUAGCUGGUCUGAGAGGAUGACCAGCCACACGGGAACUGAGACACGGUCCAGACUCCUACGGGAGGCAGCAGUGGGGAAUAUUGCACAAUGGGCGCAAGCCUGAUGCAGCCAUGCCGCGUGUAUGAAGAAGGCCUUCGGGUUGUAAAGUACUUUCAGCGGGGAGGAAGGGAGUAAAGUUAAUACCUUUGCUCAUUGACGUUACCCGCAGAAGAAGCACCGGCUAACUCCGUG
rnacentral:rRNA from 1 species